UACGUAGGGGGCUAGCGUUGUCCGGAAUCAUUGGGCGUAAAGCGCGUGUAGGCGGUCCGGUAAGUCUGCUGUGAAAGUCGGGGGCUCAACCCUCGGAUGCCGGUGGAUACUGUCGGGCUCGAGUACGGAAGAGGCGAGUGGAAUUCCUGGUGUAGCGGUGAAAUGCGCAGAUAUCAGGAGGAACACCAAUUGCGAAGGCAGCUCGCUGGGACGUUACUGACGCUGAGACGCGAAAGCGUGGGGAGCAAACAGG
rnacentral:rRNA from 1 species